rnacentral:rRNA from 1 species
GACGAACGCUGGCGGCGUGCCUAAUACAUGCAAGUUGAGCGAUGAAGAUUGGUGCUUGCCCCAAUUUGAAGAGCAGCGAACGGGUGAGUAACGCGUGGGGAAUCUGCCUUUGAGCGGGGGACAACAUUUGGAAACGAAUGCUAAUACCGCAUAACAACUUUAAACAUAAGUUUUAAGUUUGAAAGAUGCAAUUGCAUCACUCAAAGAUGAUCCCGCGUUGUAUUAGCUAGUUGGUGAGGUAAAGGCUCACCAAGGCGAUGAUACAUAGCCGACCUGAGAGGGUGAUCGGCCACAGUGGGACUGAGACACGGCCCAAACUCCUACGGGAGGCAGCCGUAGGGAAUCUUCGGCGAUGGACGAAAGUCUGACCGAGCAACGCCGCGUGAGUGAAGAAGGUUGUCGGAUCGUAAAACUCUGUUGGUAGGGAAGAACGUUGGUGAGAGUGGAAAGCUCAUCAAGUGACGGUAACUACCCAGAAAGGGACGGCUAACUACGUG